GCGGGAAGGAGCUUCAGCUUGGCAUCGAGGGAACACGAGAGACAUCCCGAGCAACCUGAGAGGAGGUGGAGGCCUGGGAGAGGCAUCAGGCGCCGGCGGAACAACAUGCGAAUCAUCAUCGUAGCGAUCACGUUGCAGAUACAGCUCCGCUGCUGCGCAUCGGUGUCG